CCCUUAGAUGUUCUGGGCUGCACGCGCGCUACACUGAUGCACUCAACGAGUUUACGACCUUGCCCGAUAGGGUUGGGUAAUCUUUUUAAAAUGCGUCGUGAUGGGGAUAGAUUAUUGCAAUUAUUAAUCUUCAACGAGGAAUUCCUAGUAAGCGCGAGUCAUCAGCUCGUGCUGAUUACGUCCCUGCCCUUUGUACACACCGCCCGUCGCUCCUACCGAUUGAGUGCUCAGGUGAAUAAUUCGGACUGUAGCAAUGUUUGGAUCCCGAACGUUGCAGCGGAAAGUUUAGUGAACCUUAUCACUUAGAGGAAGGAGAAGUCGUAACA
rnacentral:rRNA from 1 species